rnacentral:rRNA from 1 species
UGGGGAAUAUUGCACAAUGGGCGCAAGCCUGAUGCAGCCAUGCCGCGUGUGUGAAGAAGGCCUUCGGGUUGUAAAGCACUUUCAGCGAGGAGGAAGGUGGUGAACUUAAUACGUUCAUCAAUUGACGUUACUCGCAGAAGAAGCACCGGCUAACUCCGUGCCAGCAGCCGCGGUAAUACGGAGGGUGCAAGCGUUAAUCGGAAUUACUGGGCGUAAAGCGCACGCAGGCGGUUUGUUAAGUCAGAUGUGAAAUCCCCGGGCUCAACCUGGGAACUGCAUUUGAAACUGGCAAGCUAGAGUCUCGUAGAGGGGGGUAGAAUUCCAGGUGUAGCGGUGAAAUGCGUAGAGAUCUGGAGGAAUACCGGUGGCGAAGGCGGCCCCCUGGACGAAGACUGACGCUCAGGUGCGAAAGGCGUGGGGCAGCAAACAGGAUUAGAUACCCUGGUAGUCCACGCUGUAAACGAUGUCGAUUUUGGAGGUUGUGCCCCUUGAGGCGUGGCUUCCGGAGCUAACGCGUUAAUCGACCGCCUGGGGAGUACGGCC